rnacentral:rRNA from 1 species
UACGUGGGCAGCAAGCGUUGUUCGGAGUUACUGGGCGUAAAGGGUGCGUAGGCGGCUUUUUAAGUUUGGUGUGAAAUCUCCCGGCUCAACUGGGAGGGUGCGCCGAAUACUGAGAGGCUAGAGUGCGGGAGAGGAAAGUGGAAUUCCUGGUGUAGCGGUGAAAUGCGUAGAUAUCAGGAGGAACACCGGUGGUGUAAACGGCUUUCUGGACCGUAACUGACGCUGAGGCACGAAAGCGUGGGUAGCAAACAGG